AUAUUCCUGGGAUGUUCGACAACCCUACUAUUUUGAACCUACAUUUACUUUUACGGGUUUCUUAUAUUGCCGAUUGGAUGUCAAGCCGUCAUAUUGCAGCGGAAGACAGAAGAGAGGCUGCAGUUACCCACCUAGCUCUGGCUAGGCGUCAAAAUUGUAGGAAACGGCAUUUUGGGUUUUUC
rnacentral:other from 1 species